UACGGGGGGGGGCAAGCGUUGUUCGGAAUUACUGGGCGUAAAGGGCCAGUAGGCGGCCGGCUAAGUCCGACGUGAAAUCCCCAGGCUUAACCUGGGAACUGCGUCGGAUACUGGCUGGCUUGAAUUCGGGAGAGGGAUGCAGAAUUCCAGGUGUAGCGGUGAAAUGCGUAGAUAUCUGGAGGAAUACCGGUGGCGAAGGCGGCAUCCUGGACCGACAUUGACGCUGAACGGCGAAAGCUAGGGAAGCAAACGGG
rnacentral:rRNA from 1 species